rnacentral:rRNA from 1 species
GACGAACGCUGGCGGCGUGCCUAAUGCAUGCAAGUCGCACGCUCGGUCUUCGGACCGGGCGUGGCGCACGGCUGAGGAACACGUGGGCACCUGCCCUCCGGUGGGGGAUAACCCCGCGAA